rnacentral:rRNA from 1 species
ACUCCUACGGGAGGCAGCAGUGGGGAAUUUUGGACAAUGGGCGCAAGCCUGAUCCAGCCAUGCCGCGUGCGGAAGAAGGCCUUCGGGUUGUAAACCGUCUUUGUCAGGGAAGAAAGUUCGUGGCUGAUACUGGACUGCAUGACGGUACCUGAAGAAUAAGCACCGGCUAACUACGUGCCAGCAGCCGCGGUAAUACGUAGGGUGCAAGCGUUAAUCGGAAUUACUGGGCGUAAAGCGUGCGCAGGCGGUUUAUGCAAGACAGAGGUGAAAUCCCCGGGCU